CCAUAUGAUGCGACAGUAAAACUGCUAAUGGACAGGUUUUUGGAAAAGAAAUUUAGAGGUAAAAUUUGAAGUCAAACUCAGACUUCACAACAAAACAACAAUAGGUAAUAUUUAAGUGACACUAGAGUUAGCUUGUUUUUCAGUGCUGUCAGUUAGCCGUGUUGUUAUGAGUCUAACGUUAGUUAGCUAGCAGCUAGUUCAGUAGUGCUAACCAUCUGAGUAACAAGUGUAAAGACAUGGGACAUGGAUAUGGACUAUUUCAUCUCUAUGAAUAAAAGCAGGACGGUCUUCAAGGAUUGUUCAUUCACCUGCUGGUUGUUUGUAGCCAGAGUAAAAGGUCUGCUAGUUUCCUCAGGCCGACUUGUGGAAGAUGGUGUCCUCUUUAAAUCCCAGUAUCGCCUCUAUGCUGUGGACUGUGGACGGGUUGUCCCCCGGGCUCUGGACGGAGCGUGCGGAAGGAGACAGGCGCUCAUCCAUCAUCAUCAUCACUUGGGAAGUUGAUCCAAGGAGCCACAUUGGUCGAUGAAGUCCAAAAGAAGGGGUCUGCAGCUCAGCACCCAUGUCAACCAUCCUUUCCUCCUAACAAGGACAAGGCCUUCUGCCAUACAUGUAACCAGAGACGAACCCCUCAGGCCGCUCACAUGACGGAGCACUUCUCCUCCGCUUUGGUCUUCAGCUCGGUGACAGUGGCCGAGGCCUUCUCCUUCAGCUGGUCCAUGUCCAUGUUCUGCAAGU